rnacentral:rRNA from 1 species
CCUACGGGAGGCAGCAGUGAGGGAUAUUGCACAAUGGGGGAAACCCUGAUGCAGCAACGCCGCGUGGGUGAAGGAGUAUUUCGGUACGUAAACCCCUGUCCUCAGUGAAGAUAAUGACGGUACCUGACGAGGAAGCCCCGGCUAACUACGUGCCAGCAGCCGCGGUAAUACGUAGGGGGCAAGCGUUGUCCGGAUUUACUGGGUGUAAAGGGAGCGUAGACGGCAGUGCAAGUCAGGAGUGAAAGCCCUGGGCUAAACCCAGGGACUGCUCUGGAAACUGUAAAGCUUGAGUGGGGGAGGGGCAGGCGGAAUUCCUGGUGUAGCGGUGAAAUGCGUAGAGAUCAGGAGGAACACCAGCGGCGAAGGCGGCCUGCUGGACCGUAACUGACGUUGAGGCUCGAAAGCGUGGGGAGCAAACAGGAUUAGAUACACGUGUAGUC